ensembl:misc_RNA Y_RNA Y RNA
GGCUGGUCCAAUGGUAGUGGGUUAUCAGAACUUAUUAACAUUAGUGUCACUAACGUUGGUAUACAACUCCUCACUGCUAAAUUUGACUGGCUUUAA